rnacentral:rRNA from 1 species
GAACGCUGGCGGCGUGCUUAACACAUGCAAGUCGAGCGGAAAGGCCCUUCGGGGUACUCGAGCGGCGAACGGGUGAGUAACACGUGAGCAACCUGCCCCUGACUCUGGGAUAAGCCCGGGAAACUGGGUCUAAUACCGGAUACGACCGCUUCCCGCAUGGGAUGGCGGUGGAAAGUUUUUUCGGUUGGGGAUGGGCUCGCGGCCUAUCAGCUUGUUGGUGGGGUAGUGGCCUACCAAGGCGACGACGGGUAGCCGGCCUGAGAGGGCGACCGGCCACACUGGGACUGAGACACGGCCCAGACUCCUACGGGAGGCAGCAGUGGGGAAUAUUGCGCAAUGGGCGAAAGCCUGACGCAGCGACGCCGCGUGGGGGAUGACGGCCUUCGGGUUGUAAACCUCUUUCAGCAGGGACGAAGUUGACGUGUACCUGCAGAAGAAGCGCCGGCUAACUACGUGCCAGCAGCCGCGGUAAUACGUAGGGCGCAAGCGUUGUCCGGAAUUAUUGGGCGUAAAGAGCUCGUAGGUGGCUU